GACGUAGGUGGCGAACGUUAUCCGGAAUCAUUGGGCGUAAAGGGUGCGUAGAUGGCCUGAUAAGUUAGCAGUGGGAAAUCGAGGCUCAACCUCGUGGAAGCUGGUAAUACUGUUAGGCUAGAGUGCAGGAGAGGUUAACGGAACUCCAUGUGGAGCGGUAAAAUGUGUAGAUAUAUGGAAGAACAUCAAUAACGGCGAAGGCAGUUAACUAUUCUGUUACUGACGUUGAGGCACGAAAGCGUGGGGAGCAAAACGG
rnacentral:rRNA from 1 species